AUUGAACGCUGGCGGCAGGCUUAACACAUGCAAGUCGAGCGAGCGGCGGACGGGUGAGUAAUGUCUGGGAAACUGCCUGAUGGAGGGGGAUAACUACUGGAAACGGUAGCUAAUACCGCAUACCAUCGGAUGUGCCCAGAUGGGAUUAGCUAGUAGGUGGGGUAAAGGCUCACCUAGGCGACGAUCCCUAGCUGGUCUGAGAGGAUGACCAGGCACACUGGGACUGAGAAAAGGGCCAGACUCCCACGGGAGGGAGGAGGGGGGGAUAUUGAACAAUUGGCGCAAGGCUGGAGCAGCCAGGCCGGGGGUAUGAAGAAGGCCGUAGGGUUGGAAAGUACUUUCAGCGGGGAGGCGUUACCCGCAGAAGAAGCACCGGCUAACUCCGUGCCAGCAGCCGCGGUAAUAC
rnacentral:rRNA from 1 species